rnacentral:rRNA from 1 species
AGUGAACGCUGGCGGUAGGCCUAACACAUGCAAGUCGAACGGCAGCACAGUAAGAGCUUGCUCUUACGGGUGGCGAGUGGCGGACGGGUGAGGAAUACAUCGGAAUCUACUUUUUCGUGAGGGAUAACGUAGGGAAACUUACGCUAAUACCUCAUACGACCUACGGGUGAAAGCAGGGGAUCUUCGGACCUUGCGCGAUUGAAUGAGCCGAUGUCGGAUUAGCUAGUUGGCGGGGUAAAGGCCCACCAAGGCGACGAUCCGUAGCUGGUCUGAGAGGAUGAUCAGCCACACUGGAACUGAGACACGGUCCAGACUCCUACGGGAGGCAGCAGUGGGGAAUAUUGGACAAAGGGCGCAAGCCUGAUCCAGCCAUACCGCGUGGGUGAAGAAGGCCUUCGGGUUGUAAAGCCCUUUUGUUGGGAAAGAAAAGCAGCAGGUUAAUACCCCGCUGUUCUGACGGUACCCAAAGAAUAAGCACCGGCUAACUUCGUG